rnacentral:tmRNA from 1 species
GGGGGCGACUGGUUUCGACGGGGCAGUCGAAAUUCCAGUGGCGCGCCGAGGACUCCUGUUGGCCUCGUAAAAAAACAGGAAAAAACCUAAAUGCGAACGAUAACUUCGCUCUCGCUGCCUAAUUAAUUAGGCACGACGCGGAACCGCCGAUGUCUGCUGAGCGGGGAAGCGACGACUAGCAGAUCCUGCCGGGGGCCGAGCAGCCGGGCGCCCGUGUCUUGACGAAUCGUGGUUACUGGUCUUCAGGUGAGCCUGUCUGCCGGCAUUCCUGUUGACGAGACUUAAAGACAGAACACGCGCGUAGAAACUGGGAGGACACUGUUUCGGACGGGAGUUCGAUUCUCCCCGCCUCCAC